rnacentral:rRNA from 1 species
AACGAACGCUGGCGGCAUGCCUAACACAUGCAAGUCGAACGAGACCUUCGGGUCUAGUGGCGCACGGGUGCGUAACGCGUGGGAACCUGCCCUUAGGUUCGGAAUAACUCCCCGAAAGGGGUGCUAAUACCGGAUAAUGUCUUCGGACCAAAGAUUUAUCGCCUUUGGAUGGGCCCGCGUUCGAUUAGCUAGUUGGUAGGGUAAAAGCCUACCAAGGCGACGAUCCAUAGCUGGUCUGAGAGGAUGAUCAGCCACACUGGGACUGAGACACGGCCCAGACGCCGACGGGGGGCGGCAGGGGGGAGGGGUGUUAGAUGGGAGCGCGCGGGGGGCAGAGACGUCGCGUGGGGGAUGAGGGGCAACGGGUUGGAGAAGCCUGGCGCUAGGGACGCAGCGUGUUGUGACGGUACAUAGAUAAGAAGCACCGGCUAACUACGUG